rnacentral:rRNA from 1 species
GAUGAACGCUGGCGGCGUGCCUAAUACAUGCAAGUCGAGCGAACAGACGAGGAGCUUGCUCCUCUGACGUUAGCGGCGGACGGGUGAGUAACACGUGGAUAACCUACCUAUAAGACUGGGAUAACUUCGGGAAACCGGAGCUAAUACCGGAUAACAUGUUGAACCGCAUGGUUCAACAGUGAAAGACGGUCUUGCUGUCACUUAUAGAUGGAUCCGCGCCGCAUUAGCUAGUUGGUAAGGUAACGGCUUACCAAGGCAACGAUGCGUAGCCGACCUGAGAGGGUGAUCGGCCACACUGGAACUAAGACACGGUCCAGACUCCUACGGGAGGCAGCAGUAGGGAAUCUUCCGCAAUGGGCGAAAGCCUGACGGAGCAACGCCGCGUGAGUGAAGAAGGUCUUCGGAUCGUAAAACUCUGUUAUUAGGGAAGAACAAAUGUGUAAGUAACUAUGCACGUCUUGACGGUACCUAAUCAGAAAGCCACGGCUAACUACGUG